rnacentral:misc_RNA from 1 species
AAGUCGUAACAAGGUUUCCGUAGGUGAACCUGCGGAAGGAUCAUUAACACGUAUCCACGUUUAUAACCCGAGAACUCUUAGGCAGCUGAUUUGAGAACAGCUUCAUGAAGGUCUCAUCUCUCUCGGGAGCUGAAAUCUUCUGGAGCCUGCUCUAUUCUUUGCUUAGCGGCCGAGUCUAGAGCUAUUGAAUCUGCUCCUUCGAACUCCUUCAGGGACAAAUCUUCGGAGGCGUCCCUGAAGGCUACUUGAAACCCCUUUUUCUAAAUAAAGGCCGUCUCUUUGCAGACCGCUUUUAACCGAAUGCUGUACAACUCUUAGCAACGGAUAUCUUGGUUCUG